rnacentral:tRNA from 1 species
UCUAUUAUGACAGAAUAAAUGUAAUGGAUUUAAAUCCCAAAUAUAAAGGAUUUCCUUUUUUUAGAA